rnacentral:rRNA from 1 species
UACGUAGGUGGCAAGCGUUAUCCGGAUUUAUUGGGUGUAAAGGGCGUGUAGGCGGGAAAGCAAGUCAGAUGUGAAAACUCAGGGCUCAACCCUGAGCCUGCAUUUGAAACUGUUUUUCUUGAGUGCUGGAGAGGCAAUCGGAAUUCCGUGUGUAGCGGUGAAAUGCGUAGAUAUACGGAGGAACACCAGUGGCGAAGGCAGCAUACCGGCGCCCUACCGACGCUGAGGCACGAAAGCGUGGGUAUCGAACAGG